GACGAACGCUGGCGGCGUGCCUAAUACAUGCAAGUAGAACGAGUUGCGAACGGGUGAGUAACGCGUGGUAACCUGCCUCAUAGCGGGGGAUAACUAUUGGAAACGAUUGCUAAUACCUCAUACUGUGAGAUGGACCUGCGUUGUAUUAGCUAGUUGGUGAGGUAAAGUCUCACCAAGGCGACGAUCAAUAGCCGACCUGAGAGGGUGAUCGGCCACACUGGAACUGAGACACGGUCCAGACUCAUACGGGAGGCAGCAGUUGGUAAUAUUGCACAAGGGGCGAAAGCCUGAUGCAGCCAUGCCGCGUGUAUGAAGAAGGCCUUCGGGUUGUAAAGUACUUUCAGCGGGGAGGCGUUACCCGCAGAAGAAGCACCGGCUAACUCCGUGCCAGCAGCCGCGGUAAUUC
rnacentral:rRNA from 1 species